rnacentral:rRNA from 1 species
UACGAAGGGGGCAAGCGUUGUUCGGAAUUACUGGGCGUAAAGCGUGCGUAGGCGGUUUGUUAAGACAGGUGUGAAAUCCCCGGGCUUAACCUGGGAAUGGCAUUGGAAACUGGCUGGCUGGAGUGUGGCAGAGGGGGGUGGAAUUCCAGGUGUAGCGGUGAAAUGCGUAGAUAUCUGGAGGAACACCGGUGGCGAAGGCGGCAUCCUGGACCAAUUCUGACGCUGAGGAGCGAAGCCAGGGGAGCAAACGGG